UACUAGUCAAUUCUGAGGGA
rnacentral:snRNA from 1 species